GCAGCGACUGCCAGCAGUGGCUUCCAAUGUCACUCUGAGCGUGCCAGCAUCAGGGUGAAGAAUUCAAGCUGCCUUUGGAAGCUCUUUGAAGACAGGGAGUGCAGAGACUGGAAUUACAGCUACCUUUGGGUUUUUUUCCUAGUGAUGGACUCGAUAAGUGUUAGUGAUGGCUAAAUUCACUGUGUGAGAGUGCCUUCCUUUAGCUUCUUCUGUGCAGAAGCCCUUUGGUCAUCCUUGCCUAGGUAUUCUCAGCUGAUCCAUCUGUCUCAAGCCACAAAGCUGGCUGCUCGUGAUGCAGAGUGUUGCCUUCUUUAAUGCCACUGUGGAGACAUUGGCAUGACUUAAACUUACCCAGUGAAGCACCUGGGUUUAGGCAGGUCUUUGGUUAGGUAUAGCCAAAGGUUUGACACAACUGUCCAGAAACUAUGGGCAUGAAAACAACUCAUCUUUGUUCAACAAGAUGCAGGAGUAGGUUGAAUGAAUUCUUGACAUACCUUAACGCUGGAGCUGGAGUUUGAACAUCACACUCAGCUGGAACUUUGCCUUUAUUUUCAAGGUGUUUGCAGCUGCAAAGAAUAGCAGUAGUUAUUGGCAGGUAGCCUCAGGUAAGAAACAUUUCAAAUCCUCUGGUACAGAGAUAGUUUUUGAAAACUAUCCCCACCUGUCACAACCGUGUAUUGCAAUCCCAUCAGCGUGUGUGCAGAGCUGUCUCUGUUCCCUCCCAGGCUGUCACCUGCAGGGUUCAGGGCAUUGUGGAAAAUUGCACGAACUGAGUAGGGACAUGUUUUGUUUGUCUUGGUAGGAAAGUGGCAAACGACCAGAGCAGGAUUUGCAGUCUGUGUUGCAUAAGGCAGUCACUCACCUUCAGCCCUUCCUGUGCCUCAGGCAGUCCGGACCCACGAUCCCUCUUUGCUCUCUUCUUUUGCCUUCACUGUGAGCCCCACGGGAGGCUGCAGGGAAGUCAAACUGUGCAGCAGCAUUUGCUGUAUGUAACAAUAACAGUGUUCAGCAGUGAGACCACCUCGCUGUGCCUGAGUAAUGAGAGAUGCUCUAGUAUUCUACCUGAUGCUGCAGGUACUUCCCUGUCCUAUGGAAUCACACCAGGCUUAUGCAGAGGUUCUCUGGUGAGUGUUCAAUUGGCCAAUUUCUGACUGUGUGACCUCACUAAAUUAAAGCCUUUUGACUGUUGGAGGAAUGAAUCUGCCAUGCUGCUAAACAGACAGAAGCUUUUUCACAAGACAUCUGCUCCCAAAGCAAAUGAAAUCUGCUUUGAUUUUCAUGGCCUGUCGAGGGAUGAGAGCAGCACUGCAAGGAAGCAUACAGGAUUGGCUCAGAAACAGUUUAAAGAGGAUACAAGAGCAGCCCAGGUGUUGGCAUUUGAGAGGAGAAAGAGAAAAUGCAAGUGACCUGUUAAAGAAUAUGUCCUACUCACAAAGCCUCCAGGUCUCAUGCUGCAAAGGGGUAUAAUUGCAGUCAGAAUGGUUUUAGAAACAGAAUAACUCUGCAUUUAGUAUUACUCUGACCUGACAGGUUUUUUUGGCAGGGGAAGGAAGGCAAGUGUCCUACUGCUGUUCAUUGUUCAGUCACCUCUUUGCUGGCUGUUUGAUCACAUCUACUUUGAGCUCUCAUCUGAAAUGUCUCAGCUGGAAAGUGCUGGAUUUAUGGAGCUCUUGCAAUGGUGAUAUAAGAAAUGUUCUCUCAGGAUGUUAUGGUCCUGCUGUCAAGGCCUUCAUUGGAAUCCCAGAGUAACUCUGGUGCAGCUGAUGGGUUACUGUCGUGUAAGUGAAGGCAGCAUUCAUCUCCUGGACAUCACCUUUUGGCCUCUUCUGCUGGCAAAUGAACCUGAUGUAAUAUUGCAAAAACACAUCCUUUGAGUGAAAGUGAUAAGAAAGACAAAUGUUUGACUUUAGCCAGGGAAUUUAAAACUCAGAGUGCUUUGAAGAUUGCUGAGUUCUGCGCUGUGUUAGUCGUCCAUAUCUAUCUAAGAAAACACUCAUUUCAUCACAACUGGUGACAUAAAUUCAGACUUGUGAGCAAAUGGCUAGGUUGAGUUAAAUCACCUCUCUAUCUGCUAAUGGCAUUUUUGCUUUUGCUUCAUGAUGAAGGUUAUCUCCCUGUUUGGAAAUUAUAACCUACAACUGUUAGACAGCAUUAUCUGCAGACUUGGGUGAGAUAAUUUGUAUGAAAAAUCCAGGGAAUCUGGAGCUUAUUGGCUUCCAUUCACAUGAAACUGAAACUCUUCGGGUCUCCGGCCGCCCUCACAUAUUCCUGCUGCUAUACAGUGGGGAAGGAAUAGCAGCUGGCAGAUGAUGGAUAGCAAGGCUGCAGCCCAAACUAAGGUUAGCAGUGACAUCACUGAUAGAAAGGGAAGCAGCUUGAGCUGUUUAUAAAACUCCAGUUGGGAAGUUUGCCCCAGACUGCAUUAGCCUCUGUUCGCUGCCUACCCUGCUUUUCCCCACUCAAAUUCCAAGCUCCUUCAAGGGAAACAAACAUCUGCAGAGACACAAUGUUAAUUGUUCUGCUUAGGGCUGCUGUUUACAUUUUUGGUGCAAGCAAGUCAAAGCAUGUCAAGGCUAUCCUGAUGGCUAAAACAAGCCAGAAAUCUUGUUCCGGCUGAAAUAACACGGGCUGGAUUCUGAUCUCACCUACCAAACCUUCUGGGAUUGGCCAUGGAGGGUGGAAAUCAGAACCUGCACAAAUCAGAGGGUGCAAAACAAAGUAGCACAGAGAAAAGGGCACCUGCCUUCCCAAAGGUCCCAUCCAGCACUGCCAUCACAGGAGACACUUCAGCUGCACUGAUCAGGAUCCAUUGGCACCAUCCAUGUCCUUGAGGAGAGGAUUCUCCAGCUGGACGGAGCCACCAGAGCAUCUCCCUGAUUUAUAGGAGCUGGUUCUGUUCUGGCUGAGGGUGACACGGCCACAGCAGCUCUGUGGCACUGCAGGGGCACAGAUACAGAGCUGGGCAAUGCCAUGGACCUGUCAGGAUGAUUUAUGCUCAGCCAUGUUUGGAGAAGCAAAUGCAUGUAUCAGAUAAAACCAUAUUUAUCUCUUUUCCCCCCUUCUUUUUAUUCUAAAAUGCUGGAGGGGUUUCCAGCAACAGAUAAAAUCAUUUUCACAAAACUGAAAUGCAAAAUUUGUUUCAGAGCUUGUUAGGUCCUGAAAUCUGUAGGUGGGGUUGGAAAAAUAGCAUUCCCAGCUCUUCCCCAACAACAAAGCUAUUAGAGCCUUGAUAAAUGUUAUCCAGGGCUGCUGUUUGUGCCAUAUUCCCAACAGCAAAUGCAAGCAUCUUCAGGAUCCAACAGGCUCCCAAGGAUAAGCCUAGCAAUUCAACUAAAAAUAAAUAUAAUUAACCCAUAAAAAGAAAAAUGUCUGUAAGAUUAUCAUCCUUGCAGCUGGUUGGAAUGUGCUUGGGAAAUAUUUUUGUAGCUAGUUGCAAAUCAAAUAUGUUUUACAUGGAGACAGUGUUGCCAAAAUAACACAAAACAGAUUUAUUAAAUAAAAGAUGUAAAUGGAAAAAAGAUAAAAUAAAAAAAUGGAAAAAAUA